rnacentral:rRNA from 1 species
UACGAAGGGGGCUAGCGUUGCUCGGAAUCACUGGGCGUAAAGCGCACGUAGGCGGACUCUUAAGUCGGUGGUGAAAUCCUGGAGCUCAACUCCAGAACUGCCUUCGAUACUGGGAGUCUCGAGUUCGGGAGAGGUGAGUGGAACUGCGAGUGUAGAGGUGAAAUUCGUAGAUAUUGCAAGAACACCAGUGGCGAAGGCGGCUCACUGGCCCAAUACUGACGCUGAGGCACGAA